rnacentral:rRNA from 1 species
CACCCACUUAACCCCUACCCCACUCUUUUCUUUCCAGAUUUCUCUACCUCAACAACGCUCAUGCUCUCCUCUGAUUAUCGAUAACGAAGAGACCUUAACCUGCUAAAUAGACCAGCCGGCUUUGGCUGGCUGCUGUCUUCUUAGAGGGACUAUCAGCGUUUAGCUGAUGGAAGUUUGAGGCAAUAACAGGUCUGUGAUGCCCUUAGAUGUUCUGGGCCGCACGCGCGCUACACUGACAGAGCCAGCGAGUCUAUCACCUUUGCCGGAAGGCAUGGGUAAUCUUGUGAAACUCUGUCGUGAUGGGGAUAGAGCAUUGCAAUUAUUGCUCUUCAACGAGGAAUACCUAGUAAGCGUGAUUCAUCAGAUCGCGUUGAUUACGUCCUGCCGUAACUGCGAUAAG